rnacentral:lncRNA from 1 species
AAAUAGGAAAUUCACAAUUUUUCCAGCAAAACUUGUAUGUGAAAAUAUAAGCAAAAUGAUAAAUGUGACUGGCCAACAAGCAAAAGACAUUGUUUACCAUCAAACAGCACCAAAACUUCUGGCUGUGUUAUUACCAAUUUGAAUGGACCUUUGCCGAAAGUCCCUGAAGCCAAGCCACACUGCUAACUGAUGAGAGACCAACUUGAAAGAGGGAGGACCUGCCAAUUGCCAGUAGCACAACUCCAGAUAUAUGGGAGUCAGGCUUUAGGGCAAAAACCGGGGAUCACAGAAUGCUUGCUCAAUCAACUUUGCUCAUCC